UGGGGAAUAUUGGACAAUGGGGGCAACCCUGAUCCAGCCAUGCCGCGUGUGUGAAGAAGGCCUUUUGGUUGUAAAGCACUUUAAGCAGUGAAGAAGACUCCAUGGUUAAUACCCAUGGACGAUGACAUUAGCUGCAGAAUAAGCACCGGCUAACUCUGUGCCAGCAGCCGCGGUAAUACAGAGGGUGCAAGCGUUAAUCGGAAUUACUGGGCGUAAAGCGAGCGUAGGUGGCUUGAUAAGUCGGAUGUGAAAGCCCCGGGCUUAACCUGGGAACGGCAUCUGAUACUGUUAGGCUAGAGUAGGUGAGAGGAAGGUAGAAUUCCAGGUGUAGCGGUGAAGUGCGUAGAGAUCUGGAGGAAUACCGAUGGCGAAGGCAGCCUUCUGGCAUCAUACUGACACUGAGGUUCGAAAGCGUGGGUGGCAAACAG
rnacentral:rRNA from 1 species